GCUAGCAAUGCACGCCUGUGGUUCAGCCGGCUAGUCCUGUGCGUCGUUGUGUGGCGGAUCCGAACGGACCGUCCGCGGCGGCGGCGCUGGGCGAGCUGUGGUGCACUCCAUGGGCAUGCGCGUCAGCGUCGGUUCUCGGCGAGUGAUGAGGUGCCGGGGGAAGGUGGCUCGCCUCUUCGGAGGGGAGUGUUAUAGACCCUGGUGCUGGGCUCGCUGUGGGACCGAGGAGAGAGAUGAUCGCUGCGGCACCUGCCUCUCGGGGCUAGCCAGCUGUCGUCAGAUGUGUGUCAGGCGUUGAGGACUGCACGCAGUGCUUGGUGUCUUGGCGUGGUCUGGAGGUGGUGUGGGCAUAGAGGUGCCUAGGACGCUGGCGUCCAAAUGGCCGUGCGCGACCCGUCUUGAAACACGGACCAAGGAGUCUAACAUGUGCGCGAGUCUUAGGGUGUGCAAGCCCUCGGGCGCAAUGAAAGUGAAGGUUCAGCGUUGGUUGAGCUGAGGUGAGAGCCGUUGCUGGCCUGACGCCACGGCGGCGCAUCAUCGGCCGGUCCAUCCUGCUCUCAGGAGGAUCCGAGCAAGAGCGUAUUUGUUGGGACCCGAAAGAUGGUGAACUAUGCCUGAAUAGGGUGAAGCCAGAGGAAACUCUGGUGGAGGCUCGUAGGGAUUCUAACGUGCAAAUCGAUCGUCAAAUUUGGGUAUAGGGGCGAAAGACUAAUCGAACCAUCUAGUAGCUGGUUCCCUCCGAAGUUUCCCUCAGGAUAGCUGGAACUCGUNAACACAGUUUUAUCAGGUAAAGCGAAUGAUUAGAGGUCUUGGGGGUGAAACACCCUCAACCUAUUCUCAAACUUUAAAUCGGUAAGAAGCGGCGACUUGCUCAAUUGAAGCCGCGGCAACCAAUGUGAGUUCCAAGUGGGCCAUUUUUGGUAAGCAGAACUGGCGAUGCGGGAUGAACCGAACGCUCGG
rnacentral:rRNA from 1 species